rnacentral:rRNA from 1 species
GAUGAACGCUGGCGGCGUGCCUAAUACAUGCAAGUCGAGCGAAUGGAUUAAGAGCUUGCUCUUAUGAAGUUAGCGGCGGACGGGUGAGUAACACGUGGGUAACCUGCCCAUAAGACUGGGAUAACUCCGGGAAACCGGGGCUAAUACCGGAUAAUAUUUUGAACUGCAUGGUUCAAAAUUGAAAGGCGGCUUCGGCUGUCACUUAUGGAUGGACCCGCGUCGCAUUAGCUAGUUGGUGAGGUAACGGCUCACCAAGGCAACGAUGCGUAGCCGACCUGAGAGGGUGAUCGGCCACACUGGGACUGAGACACGGCCCAAACUCCUACGGGAGGCAGCAGUAGGGAAUCUUCCGCAAUGGACGAAAGUCUGACGGAGCAACGCCGCGUGAGUGAUGAAGGCUUUCGGGUCGUAAAACUCUGUUGUUAGGGAAGAACAAGUGCUAGUUGAAUAAGCUGGCACCUUGACGGUACCUAACCAGAAAGCCACGGCUAACUACGUGCCGGCAGCCGCCGCCG